rnacentral:rRNA from 1 species
UACAGAGGUCUCAAGCGUUGUCCGGAAUCAUUGGGCGUAAAGAGCGUGUAGGCGGCUCGAUAAGUCCGCUGUGAAAGUCCAGGGCUCAACCCUGGGAUGCCGGUGGAUACUGUCGGGCUCGAGUCCGGAAGAGGCGAGUGGAAUUCCUGGUGUAGCGGUGAAAUGCGCAGAUAUCAGGAAGAACACCUAUGGCGAAGGCAGCUCUCUGGGACGGUACUGACGCUGAGACGCGAAAGCGUGGGGAGCGAACAGG